GAAUAUUGGACAAUGGGCGAAAGCCUGAUCCAGCAAUGCCGCGUGAGUGAUGAAGGCCUUAGGGUUGUAAAGCUCUUUUACCCGGGAUGAUAAUGACAGUACCGGGAGAAUAAGCCCCGGCUAACUCCGUGCCAGCAGCCGCGGUAAUACGGAGGGGGCUAGCGUUGUUCGGAAUUACUGGGCGUAAAGCGCACGUAGGCGGCUUUGUAAGUUAGAGGUGAAAGCCCGGAGCUCAACUCCGGAAUUGCCUUUAAGACUGCAUCGCUAGAACGUUGGAGAGGUAAGUGGAAUUCCGAGCGUAGAGGUGAAAUUCGUAGAUAUUCGGAAGAACACCAGUGGCGAAGGCGACUUACUGGACGGGAACUGACGCUGAGGUACGAAAGCGUGGGGAGCAAACAGG
rnacentral:rRNA from 1 species